AAUAGAUACCCCCGGUAGUCCACGCAGUAAACGAUGCCGACUAGGCGUGGGGGGGACUUGACCCCCUUCCGUGCCGGAGCCAACGCGGUAAGUCGGCCGCCUGGGGAGUACGGCCGCAAGGCUAAAAACUCAAAGGAAUUGAACGGGGGCCCGCACGAAGCGGCGGAGCGUGCGGUUUAAUUCGACGCAACGCGCAGAACCUUACCAGGGCUUGACAUGGCGCUGCAGAGCCGGGAAACCGGUUGGCCUUCGAGGGUGCGUCACAGGUGCUGCAUGGCUGUCGUCAGCUCGUGUCGUGAGAUGUUGGGUUAAGUCCCGCAACGAGCGCAACCCUCGCGACCAGUUACGUGGUGUCUGGUCGGACUGCCGGUAGCAAGCCGGAGGAAGGCGGGGAUGAUGUCAAGUCAGCAGUGGCCCUUACGUCCUGGGCUACACGCACGCUACAAGUGGGGGGGUACAACGGGUAGCCAAACCGCGAGGUGGAGCGAAUCCCCGAGUAAACCCCGUCCGUCAGUUCAGAUUGUGGGCUGCAACUCGCCCGCAUGAAGGCGGAGUCGCUAACG
rnacentral:rRNA from 1 species